CAACGUUCUUACUGGAGGUCUUUUGGCAAGCUGCUGAAAUUUAUCUUGUUGGUAGAAUUAACGUUUAUUGGUUGUUGGAAGAUAAAGUUUUUUGAGGGGAAACAAAUUUUCGCGCUCUUUUUCAGUCGAGAUGGAGCAAGCAAAGUGGGAAGAGGUUGUUUCUUCGUGGAUGAGUGGUAAAUCGUUUGAAUUGAGUACAGAGUGUGAGAAUGGGGUUGGUUUACCUAUUGAAAAGGCGAAAUGGCAAAUUACAGAUUUGGAAAACAUUUUGAUUGAAAAGGGUUUGGUACCGAAAUUUAUUCGUGGGGACGAUGCCCUGUAUGAUAUAUUGUUGCGUCAAAUGCAAUCACAAUUGAUUCUGAGUGUUGGUGUUCCUAAACGAGUGCAGGGCCCUACCUUUACAUAUUUGUCGAACUGUAAGCAGAUGCUUGUGGGUGAGAUAUUUGCAGAUAUGACAAAAAGGAAGGAAAAAUUCGAGAAGAAAACAGGUGUUAGCUUGGACAACUAUUACAGAUUGGCUGCGAGCGAAGUCGAGAAUGGGAAGAAAAUAAAAAAAAUGUCUGAGUCGAAUGGAAGCAACAAGGCCCUCGGGUGACCAACACUGGCAUCGUGCUCUUCAGUAAUCCACUACAAUACCAGUACAUGAUUGAAGAAACAGGAGAGACAUUUAAUAGUUCUAAAUCUAACACUAAGGAGGCCUAUGAUGAAUUUCGUAGAUUUGGUUUAACAAGUGAACUUGAUAAAAUAGACCUCUUGUAAUAAUAAUACGUUGCUAGC